rnacentral:tRNA from 1 species
GAAGGAGUGACUGAGCGGGUUAAUAGUGGCAGAUUGUAAAUCUGUUGGUUCUUCCAUCGUAGGUUCGAAUCCUACCUCCUUCU